UAGCACAGAACCUAGCCAGCUUA
rnacentral:misc_RNA from 1 species